AUGGUCGAGGUGCGUGACACAUUUGGCCGGCCGUCGCCCUUCGCAACAUUUCACUGACUGGGUGUUCGGCGGUGCGUCGUGUCAUGCUGAAGGCCUUGACCAUCAUCGCGGAUUCUGAAGGCCGCAAAAUCUGACUGCCCCCCCCCCCCUCCAGCACCCGAGGCGGACGUGUGUCUACGUUGACGACGACGGCGGCGACGGCGUCAGCAUCCCCUCCCCAGCAUCGGAUGAAAAUGUAGCGCACUGGUGCUGACAACUGGACUUUCACUGGUGUGGUGCCCCCCACCACCACUU
ensembl:ncRNA Y15E3A.15 ncRNA